AUACGGAGGGUGCAAGCGUUAAUCGGAAUUACUGGGCGUAAAGCGCGCGUAGGCGGCUGAUUAAGUCGGAUGUGAAAUCCCUGGGCUCAACCUAGGAACUGCCUCCGAUACUGGUCAGCUAGAGUUUUGGAGAGGUAAGUGGAAUUUCCGGUGUAGCGGUGAAAUGCAUAGAGAUCGGAAGGAACACCAGUGGCGAAGGCGACUUACUGGCCAAAAACUGACGCUGAGGUGCGAAAGCGUGGGUAGCGAACAGGAUUAGAAACCCUAGUAGUCC
rnacentral:rRNA from 1 species